GUCGAGCGCAUUUAUUAGAACAAAAUCGAGUGGUGACUCUGAAUAACCGCUGAUCGCGGUCUCGACAUGUCAAUCAAGUAUCUGCCUUAUCAAUGAUGGUAGGUUAUGUGCCUACCAUGGUUGUAACGGGUAACGGAGAAUAAGGGUUCGACUCCGGAGAGGGAGCCUGAGAAACGGCUACCACAUCCAAGGAAGGCAGCAGGCGCGCAAAUUACCCACUCUCGGCAUGAGGAGGUAGUGACGAAAAAUAACGAAACCGAUCUCAAUGAGCGGUAUCGGAAUGAGCAGACUUAAACCCUCUAACGAGGAAUGAGAGGCAAGUCUGGUCCAGCAGCCGCGGUAAUUCCAGCUCUCAAAGUGUAUAUCGUCAUUGUGCGGUUAAAAAGCUCGUAGUUGGAUCUAGGACUCGGUCCGCAGCGGAACUGGGCAGCGGUUUUCCUUGCCUUAGUAGCUCGGGUGGCUCGAUUACUUUGAAAAAAUUAGAGUGCUCCAAACAGGUAGCCUGUAUAGCCGUGCAUGGAAUAAUGGAAUAGGAGGUUCUAUUUUGGUUUCUGAAUGGUUAAGAGGGACAGACGGGGGCAUUCGUAUCGCUGCGUGAGAGGUGAAAUUCUUGGACCGUAGCGAGACGCCCGACUGCGAAAGCAUUUGCCAAGAAUGUCUUCAUUAAUCAAGAACGAAAGUCAGAGGUUCGAAGGCGAUCAGAUACCGCCCUAGUUCUGACCGUAAACUAUGCCAACUAGCGAUCCGUCGGGUAUUACGCCUUGAGCAGCUUCCCGGAAACGAAAGUCCGGUUCCGGGGGAAGUAUGGUUGCAAAGCUGAACUUAAAGAAAUUGACGGAAGGGACACCAGGAGUGGCCUGCGGCUUAAUUUGACUCAACACGGGAAAACUCACCUGGCCCGGACACCGCGAGGAUUGACAGAUUGAUAGCUCUUUCUUGAUUCGGUGGAUGGUGGUGCAUGGCCGUUCUUAGUUGGUGGAGUGAUUUGUCUGGUUUAUUCCGAUAACGAGCGAGACUCUAGCCUACUAAAUAGUAUCGGAUUUCCUAGAGGGACAAGCGGUGCUCAACCGCACGAAAUUGAGCAAUAACAGGUCUGUGAUGCCCUUGGAUGUCCAGGGCUGCACGCGCGCUACACUGGAAGAAUCAACUGCCCCAUUGCCGAAACGCAUUGGUAACCAGUGAAAAUCUUCCGUGAUCGGAAUCGGGAAUUGCAAUUGUUUCCCUUGAACGAGGAAUUCCCAGUAAGUGUGAGUCAUCAGCUCGCGUUGAUUACGUCCCUGCCCUUUGUACACACGCCCGUCGCUGCCCGGGACUGAGCCGUUUCGAGAAAUGCGGGGAUUUUAG
rnacentral:rRNA from 1 species